CCCUGGGCUAUCUCGUUAAGUUCUAUCGUGAAAUGUCCUGGGCUCAACCUAGGGAAUUGGUUGGUAAAUUGCCAAUUUUGAACCCGGUAGGGGCCAUGGGAACUCUAGGUGGAGCGGUGAAAUGCGUAGAUAUCUAGAGGAACGCCAGAGGCGAAGGCGGAUGGCUGGGCCGUUGUUGACGCUCAGGGACGAAAGCAUGGGUAGCGAACGGGAUUAGAUACCCCGGUAGUCCAUGCCCUAAACGAUGUGCACUAGAUCGCGGAGGUUUUGACGCCAUCGCGGUUGAAGUUAAAAUAUUAAGUGCACCGCCUGGGGAGUACGGUCGCAAGGCUAAAACUCAAAGGAAUUGACGGGGGCUCACACAAGCGGUGGAGCAUGUGGCUUAAUUCGAAGCAAUGCGAAGAACCUUAUCCAGGGCUUGACAUGUAUGGAUUAUUGAUCCGAAAGGUGAUAAACGCUCUCUGAGUGGAACAUACACAGGUGCUGCAUGGCUGUCGUCAGCUCGUGCUGUGAAGUGUCGGGUUAAGUCCCUUAACGAGCGAAACCCCUAUCCCUAGUUGCCAGCGAGUCAUGUCGGGGACUCUAGGGAGACUGCCGGCGUCAAGCCGGAGGAAGGUGGGGAUGACGUCAAGUCCUCAUGGCCUUUAUGCCCUGGGCUGCACACGUGCUACAAUGGUACGGACAGAGCGAAGCAAAGCCGCGAGGUCGAGCAAAUCGCACAAACCGUGCCCCAGUUCGGAUUGUAGUCUGCAACUCGACUACAUGAAGUUGGAAUCGCUAGUAAUCGCGUAUCAGCUACGACGCGGUGAAUAAGUUCCUGAGCCUUGUACACACCGCCCGUCAAGUCAUGGGAGCCGGGAGCACCCGAAGUGGUCACAAUUCAGUGAUCCCUACGGUGAGCUCGGUGACUGGGACUAAGUCGUAACAAGGUAGCCGUA
rnacentral:rRNA from 1 species